rnacentral:rRNA from 1 species
CCUCCGAGUGGUGGAUAACCUUCCGAAAGGAGGGCUAAUACAGCAUAAGACCACGCCUUCGAAAGCAGGUGAGGUCAAAGCCGGCCUCUAUACAUAAGCUGGCGCUUGGAGAUGAGCCUGCGGCCCAUCAGCUAGUUGGUAGGGUAAUGGCCUACCAAGGCAAAGACGGGUAGCUGGUCUGAGAGGAUGAUCAGCCACACUGGAACUGAGACACGGUCCAG